CAAAAAAAUCAUUAACAUACAAAUUAUGAAAAUUAGAUAAAAAAUAAUUACGAAUAUAUUUAUUUUUUUAUAAAAUAUUUGGUCCUUCUUAAAUAUGAUACAUGUUAAAAGAAAAAUUGAUUAUUGUUUAUAAUUUUGGUAUUAAAAGUCUUUUUAAUAGGACUUAAUUAAUGAUCUUGAGUUCAAGUAAUAAAAAACUGACCUUUUCUAUUCUCAACUUCUCUCUUUUUAAUUAAAUAUUUUUUUUAUAUAAUCUUGUAGCAGAAUAAAAUUAACACAUUUUUAUAAAAUUUUAAUCAACUCAAAGAAAAUUAGAACCAACUAAUAUUCACCAUAAUUAUAGUUUGAAAAAAGUAAUACUUAUUUUUUAAUGAUUUGAAUGAAAUCUAUAGACCACAAUGAAAAGUAUUUUAGUUAAAAAUUAUUACUCAGAUCACCAACAAUCAGAUCUUUCUUCACUUUUGAACAGAUAUUCUUGUGUUCAUGUGAAACUUUCCUUAAAAACUCAAACGUGGCUCAAGCUUGAACCGAUACCAAACGACUUUGUAAGAAUAUAUAAAUCAUGCUAAACAACCAUCAAGUAAAUUACCUAUGAGUCCUGCAUAACCGGAAGAGAACACUAUCAGAGGUGGUGCCUGAAUUGCAGAGAGGUCUAUGUCAGUGCCAUGUUAUCAACUUCUAACCAGAGUAUGAAAGCAUAGAUAGAAACAAUAAGAACCACACUGCAAAAUAUAUCAUGCUGCAAAUCGAAUGAACACUUACAAAUUGCAAAAUCACACUAAGAGGAAAUGGAUCUAACAAGAGCAUAAUUUUCGCACGGUCGGAGUUCGCUGUUAAUUAAAAUGCAUGAAGAUCUUCCUGGGAAAGCCACGGACGUUAUCUACAUUCAAACAGGACCAUUCCAAAUUAGAAAUCAUAAUAAUGCACAAGAUUGUGUAGACAGUACUCAGCAUCAUUAGAGACUCUGAAAACUAAAAUAAAAAUGCCUCAACAGAAAUGUUUCACAGGUGGUGAGUCAGGAAGCAACUUUUAGAAAGGCUAACUACAGAAAAUAACAAAAGCUUAACCCUCCCAACACGUUAUCCUGUCCCCUCUGUGAAUAUCAAACACCUACCUAAUACAAAGGCUUACUCAUUGACAAAAGCAUUAUGUAUGCAGUAGUCACGAAAAGAAUGAACUGAAACUGAGAGUAAGUUCUUCUAUUUGAAGGUUGA